rnacentral:rRNA from 1 species
CCGUGUUUACUGUACCUUAGUUGCUUCGGCGGGCCCGCCAUUCGUGGCCGCCGGGGGCUCUCAGCCCCGGGCCCGCGCCCGCCGGAGACACCACGAACUCUGUCUGAUCUAGUGAAGUCUGAGUUGAUUGUAUCGCAAUCAGUUAAAACUUUCAACAAUGGAUCUCUUGGUUCCGGCAUCGAUGAAGAACGCAGCGAAAUGCGAUAACUAGUGUGAAUUGCAGAAUUCCGUGAAUCAUCGAGUCUUUGAACGCACAUUGCGCCCCCUGGUAUUCCGGGGGGCAUGCCUGUCCGAGCGUCAUUGCUGCCCAUCAAGCACGGCUUGUGUGUUGGGUCGUCGUCCCCUCUCCGGGGGGGACGGGCCCCAAAGGCAGCGGCGGCACCGCGUCCGAUCCUCGAGCGUAUGGGGCUUUGUCACCCGCUCUGUAGGCCCGGCCGGCGCUUGCCGAACGCAAAUCAAUCUUUUUCCAGGUUGACCUCGGAUCAGGUAGGGAUACCCGCUGAACUUAAGCAUAU